UUGCUUCCCUUUCCCCAGCAGCCAGAAGGGAUAAUAGCACCUAUUUCACUUGUACUCAAGUGUUCACUUGUUAGCAGGAACUGAGUCCCGGAGGAGGUGCAGGCGGAGCCAUUGAGGCAGCACUGCAGCUGGACCUGGGUCUGAGUCCCAGCUCCUGGCUGUGAUAUGCGUCACUCUCUCCAUUUAUUUAUCUGAAGGACGGGGCUGUGCUGUUCUGGGGUCACUGUGAGAAUGCAGCUGGCCAGUGAGUACAGAGGAACCUGGUGCCGGCCGCAGUCAACCCCAAUGUGAAGAUCUUUCUACCCACCCUCUUUGGUGUCUUGUUGCUGUCUUUGGCCAGUAGGGGGGCUGCAGGGGUCAGCCUCAGUCUCUGCCUUGGGAGCCUGCCUUACCUUGCCUGAAGUCAAGCAAUCUGCCUGCCUUGGACUCCCAAAGUGCUGCGAUUAUAGGCAUGAGCCACUGCACCCAGCCCAGCCUUGACUUUGAAAUAUAUGUUGUACAUCCGGACAGCAGUGAACUGUGGGGGAACACCAAAGAUGAGGAGAAUGAGAGAAGAGAUACCUCCAAUUAAAGGAGUUAAGAAG